rnacentral:rRNA from 1 species
GACGAACGCUGGCGGCGUGCCUAACACAUGCAAGUCGAACGAAGAACCGGUGUCCGCCCGGGAUUAGUGGUGAACGCGGGAGUAACACGUGGGCAAUCUGCCCUGCACUCUGGGAUAAGCCCGGGAAACUGGGUCCAAUACCGGAAACGACACUUCGAGGCAACUUGGGGGGUGGAAAGUUCCGGCGGUUCAGGAUGGGCCCGCGGCCUAACGGCUUGUUGGUGGGGUAAUGGCCUCCCAAGGCGACGAAGGGUAGCCGACCUGGGAGGGUGACCGGCCACCAUGGGCCUGCGGCAGGGCCCAGUCGCGUACGGGCGGCAGCGGUGGGAAGUCUUGCACAACGGGCGCGCGCGUGAUGCGGCGGCGCCGCGUGCGGGAUGACGUCCUUCGGGUUAUGAACCUCUUUCAGCAGAGAAGAAGCGGAAGUGACGGUACCUGCAGAAGAAGCACCGGCUAACUACGUG